CUUUUUUCUGGAUCGUUGGAGAGUAAGCAGCGUGAGCUUCUUUGGGACUUAAAAGCUUGUGGUUUUCUAUUUUAACCACUAGAUCAUUUACUUUUUGGCAACCAAAGACUAACCUUUUAUUGGUAAUGUGUCUUGAAUUUACAACAAUGAAAGGAAACUUCCAGAAGGACAUCAAGGCCGCGUCUGAUCUCAAGAAAAAGUGGUCAAAAUCAAAGAGGACUUUUCUGCGUGCAAAUAUGGGAGAAAGGAGGCGGAAGGUCCGCGUUUGGUCGGCCAGGAGACCCCAGCUGAGUCCGGGCCGUGUCGACGGUAACGUUACAGCUAGCGCCACGCAGAAGCAAAGUCACGUACCGUCUGUAGCCAUGGCACCAAGAAACACAACGCAGUAUCUAAUGGACCUGGUGUACGCUGACCUAUCAUAUGUUUGUGAUAUCUUUGGACUUCCAACAGAGAGACUUCGAGAACGUGUUCUACAGGAAUGAAAUCUGACGCGUUUCCGAAACCUGACUUGGACUUCGUCGGAAUGAGACGACUGGGCAGCCGUGAACGCAUAAGACAGUAAUAACAUUGCGCAGACUCCAACUCAGGGAGGCGGAACGCUCUGCGUCACUGCUGCGUGAUGACGUGUACACCACGCCCCGCCGCCAGCAAGGCCGCCACCACGUGGCCAGCAGGUAAACACGCUCCACCCUUUGUGUACGCGGUGUAAGAGCGCUGCAGUAGCGUGUUGUCGCAGUGUAAUUACUGAGAAAUGUGCAUGCAUUGUUCUGCCAACGGAUGCAUGUGUGUUUUGGGAGACUUUUACAGGUUGCUGAUCCUCCUCGGUGGAUCUCAGCUGUCUGUGCAACCCAUCCAGAGCCUUGGGAAAAGCCGCAUGGCUGCUUGCUCAUCGCUGCAGGGUAACUGUGGUAAAUGUUUGAAUGUAAAUCUACAUGCACUCAGAGUUGCAACUCCUGUGAUCUGAUCUACUUUGAGAAAUUAUGUAAAUAUUGAUUGUAUUAAAUAUUAAAAUUUGUUAAUUAAGUUA